GAAAAAUAUUUACAUACUACAUAUCAAAACAAUUACUCCAUAGGAGCUCCAUAGCCCUCUAUUUUCAAGCCGAGAUCUAUCAUAUCAUCUCAGUUUCACAUCUUUAAUCACUGUUGUAAAUGGCCGGUCCUGCUUCCGUUUCCAAACAUUCUUCAAGCUUAUGGCUCUCUUUCAAACCCUAGCAAGAGAUGGGGUGAACUCUUCUUUCUUUCCUAUACUCCAUUUUGGCUCACUCUUUGCUGGGGAAUUGUGGUUCCUUUCAAACUCUACGAGAGGUUUACGGAAUUGGAAUAUUUGCUUCUUGGAUAUUAUUAGCAGCACUUCCUUCCUUUUUGAUACCGGUGGUGUGGCCUGGAGAGGCUGACCCCAGUUUGCCUUGGAAAGAUCGAUAUUGGGUGAAGAAAUAAUACUCAAAACUAAGGACGGAAUGAUGUCGAGAAAGGAGAAAAGAUAAACAUAAAGUCACCUGUGUGAAGAGAGAAGGACGAGCAAGUUUAUGAUUGUGGUUGUUAUAUAAGACAUUUGACUUUAUUUUAUUUCAAACUUUUAUUUGAACUUUAUAUAAUAUAAGUUGUAAAGUUAUUUCAUGGAUUUUUGAGGUUGUGAAUUGUGUUUAUUUCAUGGAUUUGCAUAUAUUAAAUUUUGUUUGUUUUGUUUUUGUGGACUAGUGCAUUCUAAACAAAGUACCUCAAAUUUUAAAAAAAUGUUAUUACGUAUAUCAUAUAACAUUUUAAAUGGGAUCCUCAGGGGGAGUUGAUAGAGGAAUCCCCACCGGGAUUAAAAAGGGAAACGGGGAAUCCCCACCCCAUCCCCACCUUCAAAUGGUGGGCACAGGGGUAAAUUCCCCCAUUGGGGAUGGGGACAGGGAAUCCCCCCAGCCCCGUUGUCAACCCUAAUUUUAGCAUUUCUUUGUAAAGAUUUCAAAACGUGGUUUGGAUACAAAAUACUUGUAUAUAUUAGAAAAAAAAUCAAAGAAGUAUAUAGAUACAAGUGUGUUUACCGACCAAAUUUUAAAAAUAAAAAUCAAAAAAUAAAAUAGUAUUAUUAAGUAAUAUACAUUAUAAAUGUAAUAUUAGUGUAGAUAUCCUAAUUUCAUAAACCUUUCAUUGAAUUCCAUGUUGUAACAUACACCUUCCAUUAAAUUUUAUAUUAUAACACACACCAUUCUAUAUCCUAUAAAUAGUGGUGCCUUUGUAAGACACGUCGUUGCCUUUUUGGCCCUUAAUCUCAAAUUAAUUAAUUUUAAUUAAUUAAUUAAUUAAUCAAUAUUUUGAUGAUAGCAAACUCAAUUUUUAACUACUGAAA